rnacentral:rRNA from 1 species
GAUGAACGCUAGCGAUAGGCUUAACACAUGCAAGUCGAGGGGCAGCACAAGGUAGCUUGCUAUCUGGGUGGCGACCGGCGCACGGGUGCGUAACGCGUAUGCAACUUGCCCUAUACAGGAGGAUAACCCGUCGAAAGACGGACUAAUACUGCGUAUGCUCACAACUCGGCAUCAAGUGGUGAGGAAAGAAAUUCGGUAUAGGAUAGGCAUGCGUCCCAUUAGCUUGUUGGUGAGGUAACGGCUCACCAAGGCAACGAUGGGUAGGGGAACUGAGAGGUUUAUCCCCCACACUGGUACUGAGACACGGACCAGACUCCUACGGGAGGCAGCAGUGAGGAAUAUUGGUCAAUGGGCGCGAGCCUGAACCAGCCAAGUCGCGUGAAGGAUGACUGUCUUAUGGAUGGUAAACUUCUUUUAUACGGGAAUAACAAGAGUCACGGGUGACUCCCUGCAUGUACCGUAUGAAUAAGCAUCGGCUAACUCCGUG